CACGUAGGGCGCAAGCGUUGUCCGGAAUUAUUGGGCGUAAAGAGCUCGUAGGCGGUUUGUUGCGUCGGCUGUGAAAUCCCGAGGCUCAACCUCGGGUCUGCAGUCGAUACGAGCAAACUAGAGUGUUGCAGGGGAGACUGGAAUUCCUGGUGUAGCGGUGAAAUGACGCAGAUAUCAGGAGGAACACCGGUGGCGAAGGCGGGUCUCUGGGCAACAACUGACGCUGGAGGAGCGAAAGCCGUGGGGAGCGAACAGG
rnacentral:rRNA from 1 species